UCCAUAGAAUUGGAUGGGAUGGCAUAAUGCGAUGGGGAUGGGAUGGGAUAUGGGGUGGGAUCCAUGGGAUGGGAUGCGAUGGGAUGGCAUGGGGAUGGAGAGGCUCUGGCUGGUGAGGGGGCUCAGCAUUGCUCAGAGGAAGCUCAGAAGGUGGCCAUGUGUUGGAUGCAAGGCAAAGCUCCCCUCCAGCCCUCAGGGUGACAGGCAGAGCUUGGCUCCACUUCCAGCUCUUCAGAGCAGCCCCCUCAGCUCCUCUCUGCCCGUGCCCGUGCUGGUGGCUCCCAGCUGAGCCCAGCCAGGCUCUGGGAGCAGUGGGCAGCCCUGCUUGCACCUCAUCCUACUUCCCUUCCCUGCAGCACCAGCCUUCACACAGCCCUGCUCAGCCAUCCCCAGCCAAACACUGAGCACCCCCAUGUCCCUCCUGGGGGCUGUCCAAGGGUCCUGGCACUGGACAAAGGGCAGCAGGAGCGUUUUCCCAUGGGAAGGAGGCUCUGGAUGUGCCUAGGGCUGCCCUUGAGCUCUGACAUGUGCAGGACCUGUGUGUGACCUGUGUCCAUGCACAGAACACGGGGAUGCUCCCUUCCUCUGUGGGGAUCACUUGGAGGAGGCAGGGCUUGAGGGCACAGGGAGAGCAAAGGUCUGAUCCCCUGAUCCUGCCCUUUGGGAGCUCAGAAGCAGAUCUCUCCCAGCUGGGUGAACCCCACAGCAAGUGUGCCUCCAAAUGGCAGCCGGGCAGUUUAACCUGAGCCAAAAGUCACUGCUGAGCUUGGGGGUGAGGCACCUUUCCCCUGUCCUGAGCUGCUUCCAACCACAUCAAUCCCCUCCAAGCACCCCCAUUUAUCUCUCCCUGUUCCACAGUGGACGUGCACAGAUCCACAGAUCCUCCCCUGCUGCUCCCUCUCUGUAAGGUUACAGUGCCAUGGAAACCUGUAGGUAUAGACAGAUUUACUUAUGCUUUGCCAAAAAAGGAAGAACAAAGUAAAAAAAAAAAAAAAAUAAACCCCAUCAUUCUGGUGACUGGGGAAAGCUGGAGUACACAGCAAUCUGGGAUCCACAGUGUGGGGCAACCUCAGGGGUUUUCACCAGGAAUUCCCACAAUUUUCACUGGGCCUUUUGGUUUUGAACCUACAGCAUUCAGACUCCAGCUUCAACUUGUGCAUCUCCAGGGGAUGCAGAGAUUUCUGCUGAGAAGUUUGGAAACCCAAACAUCACCCACAAAUGAUCAGGCUCACUGACAAAGGCCAGCUGCAGUCUCAGAGGGACCGGGAUUCCCACAUUCCUUAUUCCUGAAGUGGAAAUGAGCUUGUGCUGGACAAAGCAGGGAGAUGAUGCCUCCAGAUCAAGGUGAUGCUGGAAGGAAGGAGCUUUGAGCAGCCUCUCCCUGCAAGCUGCACCUUCUCUGUGGAAGAACAGGAUGAACAAGAACUGCCAGCCCAGAGUCCUUCAUGCACAGCCAGGCGGCUCCUGCUCAGCCAUCCCCUCUGCAAAACACAGCAGCUCCUGCAAUCAAAGGGAAA